UCGCUGGUGGUCUAGUGGUUAAGAAUCUGUGCUUCCACUGCAGGGGGCACAGGUUCAAUCCCUGGUCAGGGAA
rfam:Ovis aries breed Texel chromosome 13, whole genome shotgun sequence.